UACAGAGGUCCCAAGCGUUGUUCGGAUUCACUGGGCGUAAAGGGUGCGUAGGUGGCCGGGUAAGUCUAAUGUGAAAUCUCCGAGCUUAACUCGGAAACUGCAUCGGAUACUAUCCGGCUAGAGGAAUGGAGGGGAGACUGGAAUACUUGGUGUAGCAGUGAAAUGCGUAGAUAUCAAGUGGAACACCAGUGGCGAAGGCGAGUCUCUGGACAUUUCCUGACGCUGAGGCACGAAAGCUAGGGGAGCAAACAGG
rnacentral:rRNA from 1 species